rnacentral:rRNA from 1 species
UACGUAGGUGGCUAGCGUUGUCCGGAUUUACUGGGCGUAAAGAGCGCGCAGGCGGUCGUUCAAGUCGAGUGUGAAAGCCCCCGGCUCAACUGGGGAGGGUCACUCGAUACUGAUCGACUCGAAGGCAGGAGAGGGAAGCGGAAUUCCCGGUGUAGUGGUGAAAUGCGUAGAUAUCGGGAGGAACACCAGUGGCGAAGGCGGCUUUCUGGGCUGUAACUGACGCUGAGGCGCGAAGGCUAGGGGAGCAAACAGG